rnacentral:rRNA from 1 species
CACACCUGUUCCCAUCCCGAACACAGAAGUUAAGCCUUUCAGCGCCGAUGGUACUUGGUGGGAGACCGCCUGGGAGAGUAGGUCGUUGCCGGAU